GGGUGUGAUCAUACCAGCACUAAUGCACCGGAUCCCAUCAGAACUCCGAAGUUAAGCGUGCUUGGGCAAAAAUAGUUCUAAGAUGGGCUUGUCUUAUGAUUUUCAUAGA
rfam:Cephalotus follicularis DNA, scaffold: scaffold3786, isolate: St1.